AAGGAUCAUUACAAGUGAGGCUACCGAACGCUGGAAACAGUGGUUAGGGGCUUACACCCACCCGUGUUUACAUACUAUUGUUGCUUUGGCGGGCCGUGGCCUCCACUACGGGCUCUGCUCGUGUGUGCCCGCCAGAGGACCAAACUCUGAAUGUUAGUGAUGUCUGAGUACUAUCUAAUAGUUAAAACUUUCAACAACGGAUCUCUUGGUUCUGGCAUCGAUGAAGAACGCAGCGAAAUGCGAUAAGUAAUGUGAAUUGCAGAAUUCAGUGAAUCAUCGAAUCUUUGAACGCACAUUGCGCCCUGUGGUAUUCCGCAGGGCAUGCCUGUUCGAGCGUCAUUUAACCACUCACGCCUAGCGUGGUAUUGGGGCACGCGGUCUCGCGGCCCUCAAAAUCAGUGGCGGCGCCGGUGGGCUCUAAGCGUAGUACAUACUCCCGCUAUAGAGUUCCCCCGGUGGCUCGCCAGAACCCCCAAUUUUUACAGGUUGACCUCGGAUCA
rnacentral:misc_RNA from 1 species